rnacentral:lncRNA from 1 species
UUGCAAAAUGGUAGCGGCUGCUAGCACAAGCAAGUGUGAGCCGGAGAAGCCAAGAACUUACCUAACCCUUGAGUACCUCCUUCCCGGAUGAAUGAGCAAAUCAAUCACGAGUGGGGAAGGCCUACCGCCAUCAAUAAAAUGUAACACUUUUCUGGAAGCUACGACUACCAAUACCGCUGAUGUGUCAUACUCUACUUCAAACUCUAUCUACUCAAUGAAGCAAGCAAUUUGAUGGACGACACCUUUGUAACAACUCUAACUAAAUUAAGUGAUUUUAAAAGUAAACCAGUGGUUAAUCCCUAAUUAAAGAGGUUAAAUGACCAUUUUAACCCUAAGAAGCUCUUUUUGGAGUUUGAAAUAAAACAUGGAAUUUUAUAUGAAAAUCUAAAAUUCUGCCCAAAUAAGAGUUGUAAAACAUCUAAUUUCAAACAACUUUUGUUAAAGGCACUUUGACUAAUUCGGAGUGGAAGGAAGUCAAAAACAACAAUCAAAACCGGAGUACUAAGGAACCCUACAAACCUCCUGAGUCCUAGAAUUCAAGUUUUCCUCCAAAUUUGCAAGCCUUUAUCACACAAUUUCCUAUCUAAACUCAAGUCAGGACCUAAAUAAAACUUCUAGUCCCUCGAGUGUGUUCCAACUUUGUUACACUGAUCCAGGUCCAAAUCGGGCCAGAACCUGUUCAAAACCUUGGUCAAAGUGAGGCAAAACAGUCAACUCACCCCUGAUGCCCCAAAAUGUUAAGUCUGAAAAACUGCGCAAAGUGCACCUCUUGGCGAGGGCGUUCCUCCAAAUUUCUGAACUAAACUCAAGAAAUACCUUAAAUAAAAGUUGAAUUUCUCAUUUUGGAGAGCAACUCCUUCAACAACACUUUGGUCUAAUUCAACAUGGAAGCUGCCCAAAAAUCGAAUCAAACAUAGCUAAGUUCCUGAAAUUCCACCUCUCCGGCCAAAUUUGGCUAAGUCUAGAUUUCCAGAUUUUUAGCAAACUUUGGCACGAGAUAUCUCCAAAUUCUUUCACAAUCUAAACCGGCACCUUAAACCAAGUUUGAAAUGCGUUCAGAGUUGAACAAGUUUGUUUAAAAGAGUUUUGGAAGUUGUGUUGCAAAAUCUGGAGUAGGAUCUCCCGAAAACUGGUCGAGCUUGCUGCCUGAAGGGGGCCUCGACUUCCGCGCGCUAGAGCACGUUCGCUCGCGCGCCGCGUGCCGCGUGCCCGCCAGCCACCGGCAGGUCGCCGACGCCCUAUCACCGGCGAGACAACGACAGGGCGAGCGCCACGGCGCCCAACCCGCGCCUGCGACAGGACAGGGCGAACGCCGGGCUGGCCAACCGCCGGCCGCGCGCGUGUCCUUCUCCCCCUGCCGUGGCUAUGCUCCGCCAACCGCACUCCGCCCAUCCGCCGGAGAAGCCGCCACGCUGACGACGUCCCGCGCCUCCGCCCGCUCGCCCAACCCCCACGGUAGCCCUCCGUUUCGCCCGCCCGACAAACGGAAGCCCCAGACGCGUAUCGCCCAAGGCUAAUCACCGCUGGAGACCACCCGGAGCUCCGCCUCCUCUGCCCAAUGGUGCCGCUGGCCAAUGGCCGCCUCGCUCGCGCACCCGCCGCAUCCGGUCUUAUCCUUCCUCCACCGGAGCCCCGCCUCGACCCUCCGCUCCACCGCUGCCCUAUAAAAAGGUUCCCCUCACCGGCAACGCCACCCCUUUGCCACCACCCACAAUCGCGCCACCGCUUCCUCCUCUGCGCCGCCGCUAAGCUUCCGUGGAGCUCACCCCUCCACGCCACCCCGCACUCUGGCGACUUCACCGCCCGCUUCGCCACCCCUCCGCGCACGUCUCCGAGCAGCUCGUGGCCUCCCCGACACCGCCGGUACGCCGGAACGCCGCCUGCACCGCCGCCAGCCAAGCUCUGUCGCCGCUGCCGCAUUCCGAUCCCCGCCGGUCAUCUCUGUCGCCUCAACCCCGCCAAACCGAGCGAGCUCAGGUGAGCCCCCGCACCCCUCCGCCCACUUGUUGCCCCAUCCUCGUCGGCGAACCGCCGGGAAUUUCCCCGCCGCUGCCGCGCGCGCCCCGGGGACUACAUUGCAUCAUCCCCGUUCUUUCCAGGGGCCUGGGCGCAAAACUCAGGGACCCCUGCGUAGUUAAACCUUAAACCCAGGGGCUUCUUCCAAGUUGCCACGGCUUUUCUUUUAUAUAAUAGGCAGAAAUAUGGUUGAACUUUGGAAAUGCCUAGUAAAUCGUAGAAAAAUCAUAAAAAUGCCAAACCACUUUUGAUGGAAUCCUUGCUUUGUCUAGUUCCUAAGAAAAAUAAGUUUGCUCAUGUUACUGUGGUAAAUAAUAUCCUAUGCUUUUAAUCAUGGUUUAGGCCUUUUAAAUCCUAAUAAAUAGAAGAACAGUGGGAAAAAUAUGAAACCAACUCUGUGAUGCUUGUUUCUCUGUGUAGAAGCUCAGAAAAAUAGUUAGGCCUCUGGUCUAGUACUUUAAGUCACUGUUUUUACUUUAAAUUGGGAAUCUAAGUAUAAAUCUUCCUUUUUGAAUAAGUUUUGAUCCAGAGCUCGAAAAAAUGUGAAACUAGUUGGGUUUAUUUUGCUUUGCUGUGAAGUUUGCAGGAAAAAUAUAAAUUGUUGUGCAAAUAAGAAAGAAAAACACCUUCCUUGCUAAGUAUGUUUAAUUAAAAAGGGAAAUAGAGUAAAUAGUCAACCUUCUCCAAAAAUUAUUAAAAAUUCACCAAAGCUCCUGUAACCUACCCUUAAUACACUGGUUAAGUUUCACCCCCCGUUGCACGGUAACUUUGAAGAUAGAAAAAGUUAAGUUCAUUUUACCUUUAAUAAUAAAAUGCAUGUAACUUCUUUUUAAGUCAUCCUUUGGCCCCCAAACUUUUACAGUAACCUAGUGAUGGCUUAAGUGAGGUGCUGUAAUUUUAUCAAUGCCUUUAACUACUGUUUGGAUAUGAAGUCAUUUCGGUUAAUUAAUCAACCUAAAGGAAUAAAAGGAAAGCACAAAUUCUAAUUCGAUAAAUAAGUGGAAAUUGAAAGAGGUACAUAAAAACAUUCAGAAGUAAGUAAUUAUUCUAAUGCACCCAAACCACCCAAACACGACCUCUCACUCUCUUUAUGCAACUCUAAAUGCAAGAAAACUAUAUAUGUACACAAUCGCCAUUCAACGCGAACUCAAGUUUAAAACGACCACUUUCGUUUGAAGUUAAAAGAAAGUAAACCUCGCCAAAUUGUGGUGGCUGUUGUGACUCUUUGUCUUAAGCCAUGCCUUGUGUCGUUGAAUAAACGCGCGAGUCCAACUAAACGUUUGCAUGUGCAUGUCGUAUAGAAGCAAAUCUCGCCGACGGAACCUACGAGCUCCACCCGGCACCGGAAGAAGACCCCGCUCUGGAGCUUCACCACUUGGAAGGCGAGCCCGAAUCAGAGCAAGAUCCCGAGGACCCACUAACUUUUCCUGAAGGCAAGCCCCGGUGCAUGAAUUCCCUGUUUUACUUUUAUGCCAAUUACAAUGCAUAUGAUUGUGCAUUUACGUUUGUAGGAGUUGAUUGAAACCGUAGAUGCAUGAACUUAGUACCUUGAUCUGAAUACUAGUUGCUAAGGUCGAGUAGUUGCAAUGCUUAAUAGGUCUCGGUAGAAGUCGAGUGAUUUCCUGUCACUCGCGAGUUAUAGGAAUUGAAUGUUUUAUUUAUGUUGCAACUAUAAGGACGACGGACGGGGUCGGACUUAUGUUCGAUACUUGGUGGUUUGCCCCAUCUGUCUAAAUGAAAUUGGACUAAGGUUGAAACAUGUCGGCGUUCAUGAUCAAGUGUUUGAAAGUACUAAUCUCAUACCUAGUAUGGGAUGGGGAAGCCUGGUACCUGAUUGAACUGGGACGUGGUUUAUACUCCUGCUUAGUCCUUGGAACGUCGUUCCCAUGGUGCAUCAUGUGGGUGCAAUGGCGGUCACAGUACGACAGAGACUGGGACUGUGGAGCAUUGCAUGCUAAAGGCAGUUUGGCCCUGACACGUGCCUAAGGGAUUGAUGGGGACGGCUGACAAAUGAAGCAACCCUCCGUGGUGCGUGGAUGUCGUGAGAUUAGGUUCGCCAUGCAUGGUUAAUAAAUUCGAAUCGAUUCGUCUGCCUCUCACAGUUUGGGACUACUUGAUCGCUAUUCUACACUGAGUAACGAUGAAACAUGAUUACGAGAUGAAGUUGAUGCUUGUUAUUUAACUGCUUGGAAAUCAUGUUUGUUUAGUAUAAGUUGCUAAUCUAGACUGGAUAAAGAACGUAGAACCUGAGCUAAAAUAUUGAAAGUAAGGACUGACAUUAGACGCUUUUGGCAAAGAAAUCCUAGAGCCAGAAAGCCUUGCAUGUCUAGGUCUUGGUCAAGCUUUUCACUCGACGGGUUAGUCUUGCUGAGUAUUAGUUGCUCAGCCUUGUUGUGGCUUAAUCUUUUUAGGUGAUGUCAAUAGUUUGGUUGCUGGUACCACUUGGCCUACCCAGCUCCCUCCGGGCUGGACAGUCUAGUGGGAUCCCUCCUCGGACGGUGAGGGAAGGGACUUUUGAUGUCAUGAUCGGCUUCGUCGUGAUGUCAUGUAUCGACGUUUAGCUUCCGCUUGUUUUAUCCGACUUUUCGAACCCUGCAACUUAUUUGGAUUUUAGAAACUCUGAUGUAAUAAUUUGUGAGACUAAGUUAAUGUGAUGGAAUGUUGUAAUCUUUGUGCUACUCACCUUCGUGUGAGCGAUGCUUCUCGAUCCUGUUGAUAUGGUUUAUCGGAUGAAAUCUGACGGUCGACCAGGUUGGCUUGCUUAAAGUGCAUGAUCGCGUGUCAGACGACUCCAAUGCAUUUUAGUCAGGUUAAUUUGGGCGGUUCCGCCACAGCUGGUAUCAAAGCUCGAAGCACGGUACGGAGAACAACAAACCUUAAAACAUUUUUUCUAACUAAAAUUUGCAAGAAACGAGUCGAGAAAAUUGUAAGUUCGUUAAGGAUGAGUUGAGUACGAGGAGCCCUAGGGGAUUUUUGGGUCUUUUAAGGUGGCUAAUAAUUAUUGGUUAUCUUCUGACUUCCAGCACUUGUUGCCACGUCUAUCAUACGUGUGCUGAGGUCCGCAUCGCGAGUAUGCGAAGGGUGAUAGGAAUUCGAUUCCAACGAGUCUAUCAUCACGGUUGUUUCGCCCACGUCUAUUAUACGUGCGCAGGUUCCGUAUGUUAAUGCAUGCGAAGGAUGGUAUGGUUCGAUUCCAACGAGCCUACCAUCACGGUUGUUCGCCCACGUCUAUUAUACGUGUGCAUGAUUCCGCAUCACGAGAAUGCGAAGGGUUAUAGGGUUCUAUUCAAAGGAACCUAUUUCCACGGUUGUUGCGCUGUCCAUGCAGCGUUAAACGUAUGGGUGCCGUUUCUAUAGUGAACGGUAAUGAUUGUAAAUGCUUUCGUGAGUGCUGGCACGGAAGGUUCAAGCUGUGAUGUGUUUUUCUGCAGGUACACUAACAACGUUGCGUACGAAACGAUACUAGUAACUCGACUAGUUAUUAUAGUGAGAGUCGUAUUGUUGCCUUGCCACCGGCACUAACCACGUAAGUCCAAAGAUUUUUGGAAAUUAUUUUUGGUUGAGAGGACGACUAGGACGUGCAUGCAUUAAGAAAUAAAAAUCGCAACCUAAGGCAAUAAAACCAAGCUCGAGUGCGUCGUAAAAAGAAAUGCACUGCGAUAAGGAUUGUCUAGCUGUCCUUUUUCCGCCAUGCACGUUUAAAUAAAUCUUUCAGGUUGAUCCGCAUGAUAACUCCAGAAACUUUAUAUAAGAAAUUUGUGUUAAAUCUCCCAAGUAAACUGCUAAAAAAUUUUUUCACAAAGAACUACCACUUGGGUUGAGAGUUGUGACCAGUUUUGUGACCCCUGUUGGCUGUUAGCCCUAAGUGCACACCAGUUGAAAUUCUGCUGUUCGACCACCUUAAGGACUUUUUCUGCUAGGAGUCCCUUAAUCAAAGUUUCUCAGAACUUAAUAAGUAAUUGACUGGUAAAAUUUCAGCUUUAUUAGGUCUCUGGUUUUGAAGUUAUGUUCAGUUUACUUUGACUCGGGUCUGAAAAAUUUCAGCAUGUACACUUAAUGGGAAUCUGAGAUUAUCACCUUGUUAGGUUCUGUUCUAGCCCUACCUUUGAAUACCAAACUUGUUACACACUAUCUAAAGAACAUGCUGGUAAAAUUUGAGAAAUUUUGGAUGAAUAUUUGCUGAGUUAUGAGCUUUUCUCUAACUGCCAGAAAUCUGUUUUGAUUUCCAAGUGUUAACUCCGUUUCUCACUUGUCCCUUGGUUACAGAUGGCUCAGCCCGUGCACGUUGCAGUCGGUACGGAUGGCACCACCUACUCACGGUGCCUUCACUACGAGGGUUUCCCACCCAUACUGUGGGACACCUUGCGUUCUUUUGGGUACCUGUCACUGCCGGUUUACGCGGGAUGUGCGUACCAGGACCGCGGGAUUCCGCGGAGUCGCGUGCACGUACGGGUGCCCCCGCCUCCAGAUCAGCCACAGUGGCCGCUGUUGGAGGUGGUGGCCGAGGGACACACGCUAUAGGACACCUGGGAGUUCGCAGCCUUGCAGACCCUGACACAGUUCUGCCAAGCACACCCUCUUGAGAUCGUGCUGGACCCGAUUGGGUUGUUCCCUGCCCGGGAUACGAGGGACCAGGACUGGUUGGAUCGUAUGGAGCAUAUGGACUUGCUCGGGGUUAUGGAUCCACAACGCACGAUUUUUGUUUCAGCUCGUUGCUUGAACGUGUUCUACAGGAUGGUCGAGAUGCAGAGCCGAGCGAUGGCUACGAUCAGGAUGGCAGUGGCCAACCAGGUCGCUUUAUCUGCCGUGCAGAGUGGCAUGGUGGACCAGUCGCUCGAGCUAGUAUAGAAGGAUGUCCAGAUUGUUGAGAUGCAGGACAAGAUCACUCAUUUGGAGGAGGAGAUCGUGGAUAUGGAGCACGAUAUGGAGAUCUUGGCUAACUAGUUCUAUGAUGUGAACAUGGAGCUGGCGAACGCCAAUGAGCACCUGCAAGAGCAUCACGAUGAGCUUAAUGCUAUUCACGCUUUAGAGAUGCAGCAGGAUGAGCUGAUGGCCCAGGAGGAGGAGCCCGAGGAGAUCGAGGGCUUUUCGAGCAUGGACUAUGAGGAGGCCUCUCCGCAGCCUCCAGUUGGCAAUGCUCACUCUCCGGUCCUUAGCUUUGCCUCCGUGGGCAACCUCGACGACUUCUAGUUGUGUUGACUUGUUGUUGAGCGGUUCUCUUUUGUUUUUGCUCCUCGCCGACCUAUAUUUUGGCCAGUGAUGUAAUAGGUUAGCUUGAGUUGAGUAUUUGGAUGUUGAAAAACUGAUUCUAUGUAGGAUUGCCAUUGCUAUCUUUAGUGUAAUGUCUGAAAUUUAUGGCAGAACUGCAGUGACUGUUUCUCCUCAGUUUUAACCCUGUCUUCACUCAUUUUUGAGCCAAAGUUUGAAUACCAAAGUUGUGCAGAAACUUCUGUUCCAACUACUCGUAAAUUUUCAGCUCCUUAGGAUGUGUCAAAUGCCCGCUAGAGCCAAAACCCCACUGCUCAGCUUGCUGAAAAAUCAGCCGGACAGCAACUUGCUAGAACAUCUAAACGACCCCUUUCCCUUCCUUUUUGGUCAACAAGCGUAACAUGAAAGUGGUGGUGUACGAUAUAUUCUAACCCUCGCUUAAGGAUGAGGACCUUGUGCACUUCGAAGAAGAGAUAUGCACCUACUCAAUAAAAGUUUUGAUUGUUGCUUUUGCACCAUCGGCAAGACUAGCGUUUAUCAUUUCCACACAUAAUGUUUCCUUAUGGUUAAACAAGGUUUUGGGGCUAUGUGACUAAUGGAAAGGUGAAUCUUGUAGAUGGCGCAUUGCACACGCUCCGGCUCCGUUCCCAGUGGCAGCGAGGUGCCUCCCCCACCUCUGCCUCCAACCACCCUCGAGGCGAUCUUGGCGGCUCAAACCGAGCUACUGAGGCACAUCGCUCAGGGGCAGCAGCAGCAGCCCCAGGGAGGAAGGGCCCAUCAGCAGCCUCAUGUUGCUCGCUACGAGGACUUUCUGGGGACCCAGCCUCCUCUGUUCCACAAGACGGAGGACCCGCUUGACGCCGAUGCCUAGAUUCGUUCUAUCGAGUCCAAGUUCUCCCUUCUCACCGCCCAUUGCCUGGAUGAGAAUAAGGUUCAGUUCGCCGCGCAGCAGUUGCAUGGUUCUGCUCUCCUGUGGUGGGAUCACUACCACGCCAUGCAGCCGGCCGACCACGUCGUCGGCUGGGAGGAAUUCAAGACGGCGUUCAGGGGCCAUCACAUCCCUGAGGGUCUUCUGGAGCGCAAGCUCAAUGAGUUCCUGGCUCUCACCCAGGGAGGCCGCGAUGUCCUGCACUAUGUGCAGGCUUCAGGCUUUCAAUGACCUGUGUCGCUAUGCAGGCUACCAUGCGGACUCCGAUGAGAAGAAGAGGGACCGCUUCCGCAGAGGCUUGAGCCUGGAGCUCAAGGAAAGGCUGAAUCCCAUCAAGGUGGAUUCCUACAAUGAACUGGUGAACCUGGCAAUUUCCUAGGAAGAUUGCAUGAGGGCCCUCAAGGCCGACAUGAAGCAGAAGGAUCCAAUGCCGGCACCCGGCCCACCUGCCCAGAAAUACAGAAUGGUUCCCCCACAGGUGCCUCGCAGGCCCGCCCAGCCUGGGAGAUGGGUUGCUCAACCUCCACCGCAGGCAGCACCUCGUUUCCCCGGAUUCCAGCCACAAGGGCCCCGACCUGCUCUCCCUAUGCCGCCGCGCCCAGUCACUAGAAACCGCUGUUUCACCUGCAGGAACCCAGGACACUUUGCCAAGGACUGCCCCCACAACAAGAAUCAACGACCCGGUCAGAGCAAUGCACUGGGCAACAAGGGGAAGAAGCCGAGGGUUCAGGUCCGACAAGGCAGGCUGAACUUCACCACCCUUGCUGAACUUCCAGAGGGCGCACCAGUGAUGACGGGUAUCUUCUCUGUCCAUAAUCAACCUGUCCUUAUUCUGUUUGAUUUGGGAGCAUCUCAUAGUUUUAUUGGGUCCAAAACCUGUGCUAAGUGUGGCCUAGGGUUCUGUCAUACAAAAGGGCCUUAUAUAAUCACUACACCCGGUGGGAAAGUAUCCUCAUACCAGUUGACCCGCCAGGUACCUAUAACUCUAGGAAAGAGCCUUUUUAAGGAAAACCUUCUUAUCCUGGGGAUGGAAGGAAUAGAUAUUAUCUUGGGUAUGGAUUGGAUGACUCGGCAUCGAGUGGCACUAGACAUCCCUGCCAGAGCCGUCCAUAUAAAUUCACCCAUUUAUGGUAGCUCAAUCAUACACUUACCCCACCGAGAGUGCCAAACUUCUUGUGCCUAUCCCGUGACUGAAGCUCGUUUGGAAGACAUCCCAGUGGUGUGCGAGUACCCCGAUGUGUUUCCAGAUGAUUUGCCGAGUAUGCCGCCUGAUAGAGAUAUGGAGUUUGCUAUUGAGUUGCAGCCAGGUACUGCCCCAAUUUCGAAGAGACCGUAUCGGAUGCCACCAGCCGAGCUGACAGAAAUGAAAACUCAGUUGCAUGAUUUGUUGGAAAAGGGUUUUAUUCGUCCAAGCACAUCACCUUGGGGUUGCCCCGCCUUGUUCGUGAAAAAGAAGGACGAUAGUCUACGUAUGUGUGUGGACUACCGACCUCUCAAUGCGGUGAUGAUAAAGAACAAGUACCCACUACCCCGCAUUGAUGUUCUGUUCGAUCAGUUAGCUGGAGCUAGAGUGUUUUCCAAAAUUGACCUCCGUUCUGGCUACCAUCAAAUCAAGAUCCGCUCGUGCGACAUUCCUAAGACUGCCUCCUCUACACGGUAUGGACUCUAUGAGUACUUAGUCAUGUCAUUUGGGCAACGCUUAAGAGAUCACCAACUCUAUGCCAAAUUCUCUAAGUGUGACUUCUGGCUGGACAGUGUUAAAUUCUUGGGGCACACCAUAUCUAGAGAUGGUAUAGCAGUAGACCCAAGCAAAGUGCAAGAAGUAAUGGACUGGAAGCUGCCCACUUCAGUUCAUCAGAUUCAAAGUUUUCUCGGGUUAGCAGGUUACUACCGUCGCUUCAUUCCUGACUUCUCAAAAAUAGCUAAGCCAAUGACGGAACUGCUGAAGAAGGAAAUUAAGUUUGUGUGGAGCGACAAAUGUGAAGAAGCCUUCCACACCCUGAGACAAUUGCUGACCUCUGCGCCGGUUUUAGCUCAACCCGACACCACCAGGCCGUUUGACGUAUAUUGCGAUGCCUCUGGCACUGGACUUGGUUGUGUUCUUAUGCAAGACAGCCGAGCCAUUGCCUAUGCCUCGCGAGCGCUACGGCCACAUGAGUUGAAUUACCCUACCCAUGAUCUCGAGUUAGCAGCAGUCGUUCAUGCUCUGAAAAAAUGGAGGCAUUAUCUUAUGGGAACUCGAUGCAACAUCUAUACAGAUCACAAGAGUCUUAAGUAUAUCUUCACUCAAGCAGACCUCAACAUGCGUCAGAGAAGAUGGUUAGAAUGAAUCAAAGAUUAUGACCUAGAAGUGCAUUAUCACCCAGGCAAGGCCAACGUGGUUGCGGAUGCUCUCAGCCGCAAGAUCCAUUGUAACUGCUUAUCGGCGAUUAAUUAUGCUGAGACCCUAUGUCAUGAAAUGGCUAAGCUCAACUUGGAAAUUGUUCCCCACGGUACCUUAAGUCAUAUUUCUCUGGAGCCUACCCUGCUUGACCAAAUAAUUCUAGCACAACUAGAGGAUGAAGAGAUAAACCUUAUCAAAGAGAAACUCGCAUAGGAGGAUGAGGGAUAUAAGCAUUUCCAACAGGAUUGGAAAGGAGUGGUACAUUAUGAAGCUCGACUUGUAGUUCCAAAUGAUCCCGAUCUUAAGAAAUAAAUUCUGGACGAAGCACACCUUUCCAAGUUCUCGAUCCACCCUGGUAGUACCAAGAUGUACCACGACCUCCGACAAAAUUUCUAGUGGAGUAGGAUGAAACCUGACAUUGCACGAUAUGUUUCAGAGUGUGAUACCUGUCAGCGAGUCAAAGCAAGCCACUUGAGGGUAGCUGGCCCCUUGCAGCCGCUGCCUAUUCCCUCAUGGAAGUGGGAGGACAUAAGGAUGGACUUUAUAGUCGGACUACCCAAUACCUCUCGCAAGCAUGAUUCCAUAUGGGUUAUAGUAGACCGACUUACCAAAACAACGCAUUUCCUUCCAGUACACACCACGCACGCCAUACAGAAAUAUGCAGAACUGUACCUUGACCGGAUUGUUUCCUUGCGUGGUGUACCUAAGAUGAUCAUCUCUGAUCGAGGUAGUUAGUUCGUAGCAUGCUUUUGGGAGCAGUUGCAGUUAUCACUUGGCACUAAAUUGAUUCGUAGUUCCACAUAUCAUCCUCAAACCGAUGGACAAACUGAAAGGGUUAACCAGAUUUUGGAAGAUAUGCUACGCACCUAUGCUAUUCAUUAUGACAAGAACUGGGAUAAGUGUUUGCCAUAGGCGGAGUUCUCAUACAACAAUAGUUAUCAAGCUAGCCUGAAAAUGGCGCCUUUUGAAGCCUUGUAUGGACGUAGAUGCCGAACCCCGCUAAGUUGGUCGCAACCCGGUGAGCGAACAGUGUAUGGACCUGACCUGGUCAUGGAGGCCGAAGAAAAAGUAAGAGUUAUCCGCGAAAAUCUCAAGGCCGCCCAGUCUCGACAAAAGAGCUAUUCCAAUCAAAGAAGAAGACCUAUCCAAUUUGAGGUUGGGGAUUUUGUAUACCUACGGGUCUCACCGACCAAAGGCGUACAACGUUUUGGAGUAAAAGGAAAGUUGGCUCCGCGCUAUAUUGGUCCCUAUGAGAUUGUAGAAGUUUGUGGACUCGAAGCGUAUCGAGUUAAACUUCCAGAGAAGAUUGCAGCGAUACACGAUGUUUUCCAUGUCUCACAACUCAAAAAGUGCAUUCAGGUUCCAACUGAAAUCAUCUCCUCGAAAGAAUUGGAGAUCGAACCCGAUUUAACAUACAAGGAGUAUCCUGUUAAGAUCCUUGACCGGAAGGAAAGACAUACUCGUAGGCAAAUGGUAAAAAUGUACAAAAUUUAGUAGAGUAACCAUAUGGAAGACGAAGCGACAUGGGAGACGGAAGAGUAUCUCAACACUAACUUCCGCGGUUUUCUUUUCGACCAGGGAGGUACGUUGCACCGGCCACACUAAUUCCUUUCUGCACUUGAAUCUCAGGGCGAGAUUUCUUUAAGGGGGGUAGGCUGUAACAAAUCUACCUAAAUUAAGUGAUUUGAAAAGUAAACCAGUGGUUAAUCCCUAAUUAAAGAGGUGAAAUGACCAUUUUAACCCUAAGAAGCUCUUUUUGGAGUUUGAAAUAAAACAUGGAAUUUUAUAUGCAAACUUAAAAUUCUGCCCAAAUAAGAGUUGUAAACUUUUAAUUUCAAACAACUUUUGUUAAAGGCACUUUGACUAAUUCGGAGUGCAAGGAAGUCAAAAACAGCAAUCAAAACUGGAUUACUAAGGAACCCUAUAAACCUCCCAAGUCGUGGAAUUCAAGUUUUCCUCCAACUUUGCAAGCCUUUAUCUCACGAUUUCCUAUCUAAAAUCAAGUCAGGCCCUAAAUAAAAGUUGUAGUCCCCCGAGUUUGUUCCAACUUUGUUACACUAACCCAGGUCCAAAUCGGGGCAGAACCUGUUCAAAACCUUGGUCAAAGUGAGGCAAAACAGUCAACUCACCCCUCAUGCCCCAAAAUGCUAAGUCUGAAAAACUGCGCAGAGUGCACCUCUUGGCGAGGGCGUUCCUCCAAAUUUCUGAACUAAACUCAAGAAAUACCCUAAAUAAAAGUUGAAUUACUCAGUCUGGAGAGCAACUCAUUCAAUAACACUUUGAUAUAAUUCAACAUGGAAGCUGCCCAAAAAUUGACUCAAACAUAGCUAAGUUCCUGAAAUUCCACCUCUCUGGCCAAAUUUGGCUAAGUCUGGAUUUCCAGAUUUUUAGCAAACUUUGGCACGAGAUAUCUCCAAAUCCUUUCACAAUCUAAACCGGCACCUUAAACCAAGUUUGAAUGCAUCCAGAGUUGAAUAAGUUUGUUUAAAAGAGUUUUGGAAGUUGUGUUGCAAAAUCUGGAGUAGGAUCUCCCAAAAGCUGGUCGGGCUUGCUUCACGAAGGGGGCCUCGACGCCCGCGUGCCAGAGCACGUUCGCCCGCGCGCUGCGCGCCGCGUGGCUGCCGGCCACCGGCAGCUCGCCAGUGCCCUAUCACUGGCGAGACAGCGACAGGGUGAGGGCCACGGCGCCCAACCCGCGCCUGCGACAGGACGGGGCGAACGCCGGGCUGGCCAACCGCCGGCCGCGCGCGUGUCCUUCUCCCCCUGCCGCGGCUCUGCUCCGCCAACCGCGCUCCGCCCGUCCGCUGGAGAAGCCACCACGCCAACGAUGUCCCGCGCCUCCGCCCGCUCGCCCAACCCCCACGGUAGCCCUCCGUUUCGCCCGCCCGAUAGACCGGAAGCCCCAGAUGCGCAUCGCCUAAGGCCAAUCACCACCGGAGACCACCCGGAGCUCCGCCUCCUCUACCCAAUGGCGCCGCUGGCCAAUGGCCACCUCGCUCGCACACCCGCCGCAUCCGGCCUUAUCCACCUCGACCCUCCGCUCCAUCGCUGCCCUAUAAAAAGGUCCCCCUCACCGGCAGCGCCACCCCUUUGCCACCGCCCACAAUCGCACCACCGCUUCCUCCUCUGCGCCGCCGCUAAGCUUCCGUGGAGCUCACCCCUCCGUGCCACCCUGCACUCCGGCGACUUUACCGCCCACUUCGCCACCCCUCCGCGCACGUCUCUGAGCAGCUCGUGGCCUCCCGACACCGCCGGUGCGCCGGAACGCCGCCUGCACCGCCGCCAGCCAAGCUCUGUCGCCGCUGCCACGUUCCGAUCCCCGCCGGUCAUCUCCGUCACCCCAACCCCGCCAAACCGAGCUCAGGUGAGCCCCCGCACCCCUCCGGCCACUUGUUGCCCCAUCCUCGCCGGCGAACCGCCGGGAAUUUCCCCGCCGCCGCCGCGCGCGCCCCGGGGACUACAUUGCAUCGUCCCUGUUCUUUCCAGGGGCCUGGGCGCAAAACUCAGGGACCCCUGCGUAGUUAAACCUUAAACCCAGGGGCUUGCUUGCAAUUUGCCACGGCUUUUCUUUUAUAUAAUAGGUAGAAAUAUGGUUGAACUUUGGAAAUGCCUAGUAAAUCGUAGAAAAAUCAUAAAAAUACCAAACCACUUUUGUUGGAAUCCUUGCUCUGUCUAGUUCCUAAGAAAAAUAAGUUUGCUCAUGUUACUGUGGUAAAUAAUAUCCUAUGCUUUUAAUCAUGGUUUAGGCCUUUUAAAUCCUAAUAAAUAGAAGAACAGUGGGAAAAAUAUGAAACCAACUCUGUGAUGCUUGUUUCUCUGUGUAAAAGUUUAGAAAAAUGGUUAGGGCUCUUGUCUAGCACUUUAAAUCACUGUUUUGACUUUAAAUUGGGAAUCUAAGUAUAAAUCUUCCUUUUUGCAUAAGUUUUGAUCCAGAGCUCAAAAAAAUGUGGAACUAGUUGGGUUAAUUUUGUUUUGCUGUGAAGUUUGCAGGAAAAAUAUAAAUUGUUGUGCAAAUCAGAAAGAAAAACACCUUCCUUGCUAAGUAUGUUUUAUUAAAAAGGGAAAUAGAGUAAAUAGUCAACCUUCUCCAAAAAUUAUUAAAAAUUCACCAAAGCUCCUGUAACCUACCCUUAAUACACUGGUUAUGUUUCACCCCCUGUUGCACAGUAACUUUGAAGAUAGAAAAAGUUAAGUUUAUUUUACCUUUAAUAGUAAAAUGCAUGUAACUUCUUUUUAAGUCAUCAUUUGGCCCCCAAGCUUUUACAGUAACCUAGUGAUGGCUUAAUUGAGGUGCUGUAAUUUUAUCAAUGCCUUUAACCACUAUAUGGAUAUGAAGUCAUUUCGGUUAAUUAAUCAACCUAAAGGAAUAAAAGGAAAGCACAAAUUCUAAUUCGAUAAAUAAGUGGAAAUUGAAAGAGGUACAUAAAAACAUUCAGAAGUAAGUAAUUAUUCUAAUGCACCCAAACCACCCAAACACGACCUCUCACUCUCUUUAUGCAACUCUAAAUGCAAGAAAACUAUAUAUGUACACAAUCCUUUCCCUGAGCUGUGGAACUACGAGGAGGGGCUUAAAGUUUGAAGUUAAAAGAAAGUAAACCUCACCAAAUUGUUGUGGCUGUUGUGACUCUUUGUCUUAAGCCAUGCCUUGUGUCGUUGAAUAAACGCAUGAGUCCAACUAAACGUUUGCAUGUGCAUGUCGUAUAGAAGCAAAUCUCGCCGACGGAACCUACGAGCUCCACCCGACACCGGAGAAGACCCCGCUGCGGAGAUUCACCACUUGGAAGGCGAGCCCGAACCGGAGCAAGAUCCUGAGGACCCGCUAACUUUUCCUGAAGGCAAGCCCCAGUGCAUGAAUUCCCUGUUUUACUUUUAUGCCAAUUACAAUGCGUAUGAUUGUGCAUUUACGUUUGUAGGAGUUGAUUGAAACCGUAGAUGCAUGAACUUAGUACCUUGAUCUGAAUACUAGUUGCUAAGGUCGAGUAGUUGCAAUGCUUAAUAGGUCUCGGUAAAAGUCGAGUGAUUUCCUGUCACUCGUGAGUUAUAGGAAUUGAAUGUUUUAUUUAUGUUGCAACUAUAAGGACGACGGACGGGGUCGGGCUUAUGUUCGAUACUUGGUGGUUUGCCCCAUCUGUCUAAAUGAAAUUGGACUAAGGUUGAAACGUGUCGGUGUUCAUGAUCAAGUGUUUGAAAGUACUAAUCUCAUACCUAGUAUGGGAUGGGGAAGCCUGGUACCUGAUUGAACUUGGACGUGGCUUAUACUCCUGCUUAGUCCUUCGAACGUCGUUCCCAUGGUGCAUCAUGUGGGUGCAAUGGCGGUCACAGUACGACAGAGACCGGGACUGUGGAGCAUUGCAUGCUAAAGGCAGUUUGGCCUUGACACGUGCCUAAGGGAUUGAUGGGGACGGCUGACAAAUGAAGCGACCCUCUGUGGUGCGCGGAUGUCGUGAGAUUAGGUUCGCCAUGCAUGGUUAAUAAAUUCGAAUCGAUUCGUCUGCCUCUCACAGUUUGGGACUACUUGAUCGCUAUUCUGCACUGAGGAACGAUGAAACAUGAUUACGAGAUGAAGUUGAUGCUUGUUAUUUAACUGCUUGGAAAUCAUGUUUGUUUAGUAUAAGUUGCUAAUCUAGACUGGAUAAAGAACGUAGAACAUGAGCUAAAAUAUUCAAAGUAAGGACCGACUUUAGAUGCUUUUGGCAAAGAAAUCCUAGAGCCAGAAAGCCUUGCAUGUCUAGGUCUUGGUCAAGCUUUUCACUCGACGGGUCAGUCUUGCUGAGUAUUAGUUGCUCAGCCUUGUUGUGGCUUAAUCUUUUCAGGUGAUGUCAAUAGUUUGGUUGCUGGUACCACUUGGCCUACCCAGCUCCCUCCGGGCUGGACAGUCGAGUGGGAUCCCUACUCGGAUGGCGAGGGAAGGGAUUUUUGAUGUCAUGAUCGGCUCCGUCGUGAUGUCAUGUAUCGACGUUUAGCUUCCGCUUGUUUUAUCAGACUUUUCGAACCCUGCAACUUAUUUGAAUUUCAGAAACUUUGAUGUGAUAAUUUGUGAGACUAAGUUAAUGUGAUGGAAUGUUGUAAUCUCUGUGCUACUCACCUUCGUGUGAGCGAUGCUUCUUGAUCCUGUUGAUGUGGUUUAUCGGAUGAAAUCCGAUGGUCGACCAGGUUGGCUUGCUUAAAGUGCAUGAUCGCGUGUCAGGCGACUCCAAUGCAUUUUAGUCACGUUAAUUUGGGCGGUUCCGCCACAACCUUCCUCUUCAAUAGCUUUCUUUCUAGUUCUGAGUGUGUAUUAAAAACGGAGUUUAUGCUACACACAUCAUAACUCACAGCCUAUAUUUACAUGCUUUUUA